rnacentral:lncRNA from 1 species
CGUCUACAUAUUACUCUCCCCAAACCCCACUUUGUGGGACUAUACUGGGUAGUUGUUGUUGUCCCUGGUUAUGCAUCGACUUAGUUUACCCUUUCUUUAAAAUUCUCACUUGGGAGAGCAAGGUGAGAGAACCCACUUUCCACCGAGCUUCGAAAACAAAAAUAAUAGAUUUUUCAGUAAUCCAAGAAAUAUAUUUAUAAAAAAUAACUCACUUUUUUGGGUGUAUGCCAGCUUGUGCCUAGCUCUUCAGACUGGACAAGUCAGACUGAGGUCAGUAGGUGCAGGGUUGGGAGCUUUGGAAGUAAGAACCUUGCCUGUUUGGAUAGUGCAUGGUUGGUAUGUCAGAUUUUGGUGGAUUGCUGGUUGGUGUCAAUGAGUGAGAAGCUAGUCUACCUAUCUUAUAGGAGAUCUCUCUUACCAAGUUCUGCUACAUGCGAUGAUGAGCAGUUUCCAAAUAUUAAAUGUGUAAGUAAGUGGAUGUCUUGGCAGCAGUUAACAUGUCUGCCUGGAAAUUCUUCAAUGGGAUUUUGCAUGAGAUCACGGAGAAGUAGUUAUCAGGGGCUAACUAUGGAUGUUUUACGGAAAUAAGUUUGUGAUUGUGUAUGCAUAUGGUUAUCUCAACUUUUGAUUUGUUUCAAUGUCAACUAGUGGCGAUAUCCUGUCAUGUAUGUUAUUUAAAUUUGUUGUGCUUGUGAUCCAGUUACAGAUUGUUGUUGGAUAGUUAGUGUUCGGUCAUCUGUAUCUUGGUAUGGCAUUUUCCCAAAGCUGAGAAUGCCCAAACCUUUUGUUUCGCUGGGCACCCUGUUGUCAUUGUUUCCGGUAUAGUGCAUCAUGCCUUUUCGUUCUUCAAUGUUGUAAGUGUCGUAUUUUGGCCUUGAUUUUACCAGUAGCAAGCAUUGGCUCUCUAUUAUGGUGCUGUAAGUAUCUCCAGUGCUAUCCAAGUUGGGGGCCAACAGUCAGCAAGAUUAACUAGGUAGUCUUAUAUGGUCAAAGGAAAAUCCUUUUCGCUUGAAUUCUCUUUGUAUUAUAUAUUUGCAGUUUUACUAAAAUUGAUUAGAGAAAAGCAAAAUGACAAAAUAAUUUUGUGGCGAGAAGUUAUGCUUUUUAGUGUUAAAAGACGGUAACAUUGUUUCUUCCCCUUAUUCUGAAACUAUUAACUUGUCAACAAUUGCAAAAAAUAAAUCUUCGGAGUCGUCAUGUCUUGCUUAUUUGCCAUAAAAAUUCCAUAACUCAGCCAUAAAAUAGCUGGCACAUUUUCAUGGCUUUAGCUUCUGGUUGGCUCUGGAAAUACAUAAAGCCAACACAAUGAAGCACAACUUGCUUAGGUGUAACUAUUCUGGCAACUACACUGUCACUUGAAUCCUGC